CUACGGGUUGCUGCAGUAGGGAAUUUUCGGCAAUGGGGGAAACCCUGACCGAGCAACGCCGCGUGAAUGACGAAGUACUUCGGUAUGUAAAGUUCUUUUAUUAGGGAAGAAUGGCAGGUGGAAAAACCUGAUUGACGGUACCUAAUGAAUAAGCCCCGGCUAACUAUGUGCCAGCAGCCGCGGUAAUACAUAGGGGGCAGGCGUUAUCCGGAAUUAUUGGGCGUAAAGGGUGCGUAGGUGGUUAGUUAAGUCUUUGGUGUAAGUGCAGUGCUUAACGCUGUGAUGCUAAAGAAACUGGCUGACUUGAGUGUGGUAGAGGCAAGUGGAAUUCCAUGUGUAGCGGUAAAAUGCGUAAAUAUAUGGAGGAACACCAGUGGCGAAGGCGGCUUGCUGGGCCACAACUGACACUGAGGCACGAAAGCGUGGGGAGCAAACAGGAUUAGAUACCCGCGUAGUC
rnacentral:rRNA from 1 species